rnacentral:snRNA from 1 species
ACCGGCUUCCUUCGGGAGU